CCUACGGGAGGCAGCAGUGAGGAAUAUUGGUCAAUGGACGAGAGUCUGAACCAGCCAAGUAGCGUGAAGGAUGACUGCCCUAUGGGUUGUAAACUUCUUUUAUAUGGGAAUAAAAUGUUCCACGUGUGGGAUUUUGUAUGUACCAUAUGAAAAGGAUCGGCUAACUCCUUGCAAGCAGCCGCGGUAAUACGGAGGACUCGACGGUUAUCCGGAUUUAAUGGGUUUAAAGGGGGCGUAGGUGGUUUGUUAAGUUAGUUGUGAAAGUUUGCGGCUCAACCGUGAAAUUGCAGUUGAAACUGGCAGUCUUGAGUACAGUAGAGGUGGGCGGAAUUCGUGGUGUAGCGGUGAAAUGCUUAGAUAUCACGAAGAACUCCGAUUGCGAAGGCAGCUCACUGGACUGCAACUGACACUGAGGCUCGAAAGUGUGGGUAUCAAACAGGAUUAGAUACCCUUGUAGUC
rnacentral:rRNA from 1 species